rnacentral:rRNA from 1 species
UACAGAGGUUUCAAGCGUUGUUCGGAUUCAUUGGGCGUAAAGGGUGUGUAGGUGGCGCCGUAAGUCGGGUGUGAAAUUUCGGAGCUUAACUCCGAAACUGCAUUCGAUACUGCGGUGCUUGAGGACUGGAGAGGAGACUGGAAUUCAUGGUGUAGCAGUGAAAUGCGUAGAGAUCAUGAGGAAGACCAGUGGCGAAGGCGGGUCUCUGGACAGUUCCUGACGCUGAGGCACGAAGGUCAGGGGAGCAAACGGG